CCAAAUUUCGCAACUCAAAAUGCUUCUCUUCCUUAUUUACAGUGGUUUUUCCAUAACCUUCAGGCUAUUUUUCAAUCAAUGGCUGUUUCGUCAGGCUGUGCUAGGCUUUUGCUGAACCAUCAUAUACCAUUGAUUACCCGAGGUUCAGGUCUGAGAUUAUCGGCGAUGGUGGAACUGGUUUGGUUCGAUGGUGACGAAAAGAGAGCUCAAGGAAUAUGCUUUUGAUUUGAGGCAUUCUGCUCCUGCUCAGGUGCCUUUAUUGCCAAAGAGGGAGAAAGCGCUCGGCCUCUUAAUCGAUUUACUCACAAAAGAAGAAUUCGGGGCAUAAGAAGUUGAUUGAAGAAAAGACUUGGCUUGGAAGUUUCCGAAUUGAAGUUGUGAAGAUAAUGUUAAAUGUUUUGUGAUUCUGUCAACACAUAAAGCUACCAUCUGUAACUCUAUAAC